rnacentral:rRNA from 1 species
CUACGGGCCGCAGCAGUGAGGAAUAUUGCGCAAUGGGGGAAACCCUGACGCAGCGACGCCGCGUGGAUGAUGAAGGCCUUCGGGUCGUAAAAUCCUGUCAGAAGGAAAGAAGUGUAUGGUAGCUAAUAUCUGCCAUACUUGACGGUACCUUCAAAGGAAGCACCGGCUAACUCCGUGCCAGCAGCCGCGGUAAUACGGAGGGUGCAAGCGUUGUUCGGAAUUACUGGGCGUAAAGCGCGCGUAGGCGGUUUUAUAAGUCAGAUGGGAAAGUCCACGGCUCAACCAUGGAAGUGCAUUUGAAACUGUAAGACUUGAGUAUUGGAGGGGGUAGUGGAAUUCCCGGUGUAGAGGUGAAAUUCGUAGAUAUCGGGAGGAAUACCGGUGGCGAAGGCGACUAUCUGGCCAAAUACUGACGCUGAGGUGCGAAAGCGUGGGGAGCAAACAGGAUUAGAUACCCGUGUAGUC